AUCCAGUUAACGAGUCCCAAAUAGGACGAAGUGAUGCGCGUCUUGGAU
rfam:Schistosoma mansoni, Puerto Rico, WGS project CABG01000000 data, contig: 0151